AAAAAGGCAACGAAAAGAGGAAGAGAGUUUUUGGAGACGGAGUUCGGGAUUUCGUUCGUGGUUCUGUGUUCGUGGUUCUAAAAGGCUAGUAUUGCUAGCUUUUGAAACCAGUAGAUCAUACAUAUUCUCUUUAUUGUGAAACCUUAUAAAAGGUAACGCUAAAUCUUUUGGUACAGUUUAAACAUGAUAUGAGAUCUAUGUCUUCGC
rnacentral:lncRNA from 1 species